rnacentral:rRNA from 1 species
CUUGACAAAAUAUAAGAGGUCCAGCCUGCCCAGUGACCUAGUUCAACGGCCGCGGUAUCCUAACCGUGCGAAGGUAGCGUAAUCACUUGUUCUUUAAAUGAGGACUAGUAUGAAUGGCACCACGAGGGUUAAGCUGUCUCCUUUUUCUAAUCAGUGAAACUAAUCUCCCCGUGAAGAAGCGGGGAUCGCCCUAUAAGACGAGAAGACCCUAUGGAGCUUAAAACAAAUUAACACCUGCUUCUAUCCACUCUCCUUCCUGAAUUAACACAUAAAAUAUAGCACUCUUGAUUAAUAGUUUUCGAUUGGGGUGAUCAUGGAGCAAAAACCAACCUCCACGACGAAAAGGAGCACUUCCCUGAGCUAAAAGCUACAACUUUAAGCACUAAAAAAUUAACGCACUUUGACCCAAAUUUUUGAGCAACGAAC